GUAGAUGGUUCCAGAUAUGCUGAUGAGAAUGGUAAUUUCCACACUGGAUAUGCUGUAGUCUCUGCACAUGAUGUAAUAAAAGCUGAACCACUCGCUCCUCACUGCUCUGCACAGGAGGGAGAGCUGAAGGCACUCGCUGAAGCAUGUAAAAUGGCUUCUGGUAAGACUGCUAAUAUUUAUACAGACUCUCGCUAUGCUUUCGGUAUAGCCCAUGAUUUUGACCCUAUAUGGCGGGCUCGUGAUUUUCUCACCUCAGCAGGAACUCCAAUCAAGAAUUCUGAAGCCAUGAGUGCACUUAUGGACGCUAUCCCACUCAAGUAGGCAUCAUCAAGGCUUCAGCUCAUGUGAAGAUCAUAGAUGAAAUCUCAAGAGGAAACCAACAAAGCAGACAAAGCUGCCAAGCAAGCAGCAAUUCAAGUUCAUCCCUCUACAGGUAAUAUCUUCCUACAAGUUGUUCUUACAACUUGUAGGAAGAUAUUCUGAAGUGGUAGAGGUUAACACAGUAAAGGAGUUUAAACAUGCAUGGGAUAGGCAUAAGGCUAUCCUAACUAUAAGAUAAGGCUAGGGACUAAUGAAAGUUUUUCGAAAAUUGGGCAGACUAGAUGGGCCGAAUGGUUCUUAUCUGCCGUCACAUUCUAUGUUUCUAUGUUUCUAUGUUACAGAUGACGCCGUUGACUACAAUUUACUGUUGAGAUUACAAAGACAGGCAAGCAAGGAAGAACAUGACCUCUGGAGGAAACAAGAUGCAGAACCUGAUGAUGAAAGAGUGUGG